CUUUGUGUGUUUUAGGACCCGUUCGUUGUGGCAGUCUCCCUUCCUAGCCACGAGAGAGCAUCUUCCUGUUUAUUGGCAAAGCUGUCACCAUUUAAUUGGUGUCAGAGUCUGGUUUCACAAGUAACAUUC
ensembl:snoRNA